GACGAACGCUGGCGGCGUGCUUAACACAUGCAAGUCGAACGGAAAGGCCCUGCUUUUGUGGGGUGCUCGAGUGGCGAACGGGUGAGUAACACGUGAGUAACCUGCCCUUGACUUUGGGAUAACUUCAGGAAACUGGGGCUAAUACCGGAUAGGAGCUCCUGCUGCAUGGUGGGGGUUGGAAAGUUUCGGCGGUUGGGGAUGGACUCGCGGCUUAUCAGCUUGUUGGUGGGGUAGUGGCUUACCAAGGCUUUGACGGGUAGCCGGCCUGAGAGGGUGACCGGCCACAUUGGGACUGAGAUACGGCCCAGACUCCUACGGGAGGCAGCAGUGGGGAAUAUUGCACAAUGGGCGGAAGCCUGAUGCAGCAACGCCGCGUGCGGGAUGACGGCCUUCGGGUUGUAAACCGCUUUCGCCUGUGACGAAGCGUGAGUGACGGUAAUGGGUAAAGAAGCACCGGCUAACUACGUGCCAGCAGCCGCGGUGAUACGUAGGGUGCGAGCGUUGUCCGGAUUUAUUGGGCGUAAAGGGCUCGUAGGUGGUUGAUCGCGUCGGAAGUGUAAUCUUGGGGCUUAACCCUGAGCGUGCUUUCGAUACGGGUUGACUUGAGGAAGGUAGGGGAAGAAUGGAAUUCCUGGUGGAGCGGUGGAAUGCGCAGAUAUCAGGAGGAACACCAGUGGCGAAGGCGGUUCUCUGGGCCUUUCCUGACGCUGAGGAGCGAAAGCGUGGGGAGCGAACAGGCUUAGAUACCCUGGUAGUCCACGCUGUAAACGGUGGGUACUAGGUGUGGGGUCCAUUCCACGGGUUCCGUGCCGUAGCUAACGCUUUAAGUACCCCGCCUGGGGAGUACGGCCGCAAGGCUAAAACUCAAAGGAAUUGACGGGGCCCCGCACAAGCGGCGGAGCAUGCGGAUUAAUUCGAUGCAACGCGUAGAACCUUACCUGGGUUUGACAUGGAUCGGGAGCGCUCAGAGAUGGGUGUGCCUCUUUUGGGGUCGGUUCACAGGUGGUGCAUGGCUGUCGUCAGCUCGUGUCGUGAGAUGUUGGGUUAAGUCCCGCAACGAGCGCAACCCUUGUUCACUGUUGCCAGCACGUUAUGGUGGGGACUCAGUGGAGACCGCCGGGGUCAACUCGGAGGAAGGUGGGGAUGACGUCAAGUCAUCAUGCCCCUUAUGUCCAGGGCUUCACGCAUGCUACAAUGGCUGGUACAGAGAGUGGCGAGCCUGUGAGGGUGAGCGAAUCUCGGAAAGCCGGUCUCAGUUCGGAUUGGGGUCUGCAACUCGACCUCAUGAAGUCGGAGUCGCUAGUAAUCGCAGAUCAGCAACGCUGCGGUGAAUAUGUUCCCGGG
rnacentral:rRNA from 1 species